rnacentral:rRNA from 1 species
AUUGACCGCUGGCGGCAGGCCUAACACAUGCAAGUCGAACGAGUGGCGGACGGGUGAGUAAUGUUUGGGAAACUGCCUGAUGGAGGUGGAUAACUACUGGAAACUGUAGCUAAUACCGCAUACCAUACGAUGUGCCCAGAUGGGAUUAGCUAGUGGGGGGGGUAAAGGCUCACCAAGGCGACGAUCCCUAGCUGGUCUGAGAGGAUGACCAGCCACACUGGAACUGAGACACGGCCCAGACUCCUACGGGAGGCAGCAGUGGGGAAUAUUGCACAAUGGGCGCAAGCCUGAUGCAGCCAUGCCGCGUGUAUGAAGAAGGCCUUCGGGUUGUAAAGUACUUUCGGCUGGGAGGCGUUAAACGCAGAAGAAGCACCGGAUAACUCCGUGCCAGCAGCGGCGGUAAUUC